rnacentral:rRNA from 1 species
AUUGAACGCUGGCGGCAGGCCUAACACAUGCAAGUCGAGCGGAUGACGGGAGCUUGCUCCUUGAUUCAGCGGCGGACGGGUGAGUAAUGCCUAGGAAUCUGCCUGGUAGUGGGGGACAACGUUUCGAAAGGAACGCUAAUACCGCAUACGUCCUACGGGAGAAAGCAGGGGACCUUCGGGCCUUGCGCUAUCAGAUGAGCCUAGGUCGGAUUAGCUAGUAGGUGAGGUAAUGGCUCACCUAGGCGACGAUCCGUAACUGGUCUGAGAGGAUGAUCAGUCACACUGGAACUGAGACACGGUCCAGACUCCUACGGGAGGCAGCAGUGGGGAAUAUUGGACAAUGGGCGAAAGCCUGAUCCAGCCAUGCCGCGUGUGUGAAGAAGAUCUUCGGAUUGUAAAGCACUUUAAGUUGGGAGGAAGGGCAGUAAGCUAAUACCUUGCUGUUUUGACGUUACCGACAGAAUAAGCACCGGCUAACUCUGUGCCAGCAGCCGCCGCGGUA